rnacentral:rRNA from 1 species
CCUACGGGUGGCUGCAGUGGGGAAUAUUGGACAAUGGGCGAAAGCCUGAUCCAGCCAUGCCGCGUGUGUGAAGAAGGCCUUCGGGUUGUAAAGCACUUUCAGUGGGGAAGAAAGCCUUGGGGCUAAUACCCUCGAGGAAGGACAUCACCCACAGAAGAAGCACCGGCUAACUCCGUGCCAGCAGCCGCGGUAAUACGGAGGGUGCGAGCGUUAAUCGGAAUUACUGGGCGUAAAGCGCGCGUAGGCGGUCUGAUAAGCCGGUUGUGAAAGCCCCGGGCUCAACCUGGGAACGGCAUCCGGAACUGUCAGGCUAGAGUGCAGGAGAGGAAGGUAGAAUUCCCGGUGUAGCGGUGAAAUGCGUAGAGAUCGGGAGGAAUACCAGUGGCGAAGGCGGCCUUCUGGACUGACACUGACGCUGAGGUGCGAAAGCGUGGGUAGCAAACAGGAUUAGAUACUCUAGUAGUC